UGAACCUGCGGAAGGAUCAUA
rnacentral:rRNA from 2 species